CAAAAAAAAAAGAAACCUGUUGAGUAGUGAAGUUCCAAAAGCUUCCAAACUCUACAUACGCCCACCACUAGAAUGGGCACAUACACACACACACACACACACACACACACACACACACACACACUUCCCCUUGGAAACUUGGGUAAGCCUUAUUCUUUUCCUGGGCAUCUCACAUCUUACUAACCCCUUGUCUUAAGAUCUUUGAUAAAAAAAAUGUCUUUCAAUAAUAGACUUAAACUCUGCUUCACACUGCCUUGUUCUGGAAUUUUCUCCACCGAAACCAAGAGCCCAGAUUUACCUAACUGGAAGUCCUCAGAAAGGUUAAGAGAAUACCCAAGGCUGCUGGUGGCUGCUCUGGGCUGUCUCCUAUCCUGCUGUCAUUGGCAGAAUGAAUCAGCAAUUUGAGAAGGACAGCAUUGGGCUUGGUAUGCAAAGGUCUGGGCUGAUUCCAGACGGGGCUUUAACAUUCCUAGGUAACCUUGAAUAUAUAAUCCACAAGAGACAAGGUUUUCUUCUUUCAAAUUAUAGACAACAUAUCAAUUGUUUUUCCUCAAAGCUUUUAUAAAAGUCAUCCAAGGAUGUUGUUGAAAGUGAUGUAGUGUAUAGUACCAUCGUAAAGGUAAUUAAAGUCUCAAAUAUGGCUUCCUGCUCCACCAUACAACCGAGCUCCUAUUCAUAAUUUUCUAUAGAUCAUUCGAAUAAAUUAAGAGAGGCUAAAUGCCCCCCCUAGAAAACAUGAUAGAGCUAUUCAGACAAUAACAUGCUGAAACAAGAGCUGACAACAGGUUAUUUACAAGAAUUACUUGGCCUUCUGGUGUUUGAAGCUACCUUAAGCAGAAUUCAAGUAAUAAUAGUGAGCUUUGAGGCUUUGAUAUAGCCCAUAUAAAGGUCUGACACCAUUUCAAUUAUUCUAUAUUAUUAAUUCACUUAAUAACAGGCUAGUCAAUGUACUUUUAAAUAUACUUAAGUUUUUUAAAAAUUGGUUAAUCAGAUUUUCUUAAAGCCAUUGUUCAACAAUGUCAACCUCCCACCUCCCACACCCUAGUUUCUUUUCCAUAUUCAUGACUUUGGUUUUGUUGUGCUAGCCAUUUGGUUUAGUAAGGGCCAUCUGUGUGACCACUGCAUUGGAGGAAUACAUUGGAGCCUGGAAGGAUUACCAGUUGUACACAAAUAAGGGAAUGACUCGUUUCCAUGAAUCUAUCUGAAGGAAUUAAGUAAGUAGCGAGAAGUAGCAUCCUCUGAGACCCUCUCCAUUCUUGUCUGCUUGUGGUUGAUGGGUCCAUUUUUUUUGUUUGUUUGUUUUGGUUUUGGUUUUUUGAGACAGGGUUUCUCUGUGUAGCUUUGGAAACUGUCCUGGAACUUGCUCUUGUAGACCAGGCUGGCCUUGAACUCACAGAGAUCCACCUGCCUCUGCCUCCCAAGUGCUGGGAUUAAAGGCAUGUGCCACCACAACCCAACUUGUGAGACCCUGUGCAUUCUUGUCUGCCAGUUGAUGCCCAUUCUUGUGCGGGCCCAAUUCAGUCAUCAGUAGAUGUGGAGAGUUUCUAAUCGCAAUGUCUGAAAACACAUAGCUUUGAUCUGAUAUCUUAUAUUGUUCCUAAGGAAUAAGGGAUAACUCCCCAACCUCAGCACUCAACAUGCAGCUGUUAUAUUGCUUUGAGUUUCAUGGAAAGGAAAAGAAAGAAGCAGUUCAAAUACAGCUUCUUACAACCUGUCCUCCCAGCUGACCAAGAACACAGACUUACUCUUUCUGUUGAAUAAAAACCUAUACCAUUACAGCAAUGUAGAUUAAUAUCCUGUUUCUAGGGAUAAGAGUACAAAAAUUUCUUUGGUAAUUUUAUUUGUGUUUUUAAAAAUGUAUAAUGAUAGAUCUAAAUAUGAAUAAUGGCUAUUGUAUGUGUGAUAAUUAAGAAGUAUUGUGUUAUUUGUUAAACGUUAAAAUAGUUCAAUUUUAUAAUGAGAUGAAUUAUUUAUGCCUAGAGGUAUACUUGGAGUCUUCAUUAAUGAAUGAACCUAUAUUUUGGUUAGGUGCUUAUGGCAAUUUGCUCUUAUUAUAAAAGCUCAAAAUAAAAACUCUCAGAAGUUGAUAGUUUGCCAGUAUUCAGCAAUAUUGACCAGGGAACCUCAGAAGCAAGAUUGGUAAUUAGUGCUUUGACAUCUCAGACUCAUCCUGAAUUCAUUUAUGUUCAAAAUCUUUAGAUGAGCGAUGAUCUAAUGGCUGAGCAUGGUUUCAGCAGUAUUAAAAAGUAACUAAAAUCAAAAUGAAGUCUAACAAAAUGAAUGUGUUACAAAGACAAAGUGUGGCUCAAAAACUCUGAAAUCGCUUUCAGUUUGUUUGUUUAAUGUGCUUAUUUGAGAAAAGCUUUGCCAACCUUUCCUUUGAACUUCUGAGCUCUUAUUCUGUCCUUGUUCACAGAACUUGGGCUUUGGAAUCUGAAUGGCCUGUAUUUGCCUUCUAGUCUUUCACGUCUCUCAGUUAGUAGCUAUGUAACUUCUGCUUUUGUAUAGCACACUAACCAACAGUUUCUCCCUCACCUGCCCCAUGAGGUUUUCCUGAAUAUUCAAGAGAGGUUGGAAAGAUCUUUAGAACAUUGCUUGAUUUGCAAGCCCCCCCCUCCCCUAAUUACCCUUCACACUCCCGAAAAAUCCUCCCAAUGAUGGAGAAGGUGGUUGUGCAUUUUCUAAGGGGGUCAGGGCUCUCAAGGGCUGAGGGGCUCAGAGGCUUCAUGGACAGACUUGACAGAGUGGGGACAGUAAACGUGCUGAAGGCUGGGCAGAUGACAAUAUUUGGAAUCAGGGAGAUCAGCAAGAGGGGAGCCCUGGCCUUCACCGAUUGUUAUAUAAGCCUACCCAUCAGGACUCUGUGUUCCGGAGCCUUGAGUUCCUGUCCUGUUACAUCCUUAGUCCCAGAUAAGGAUCUCCGUGCUUGGGUCAUGAGGGAGGAAAAAGAAAACAGAGAUUUCUGGAAUGUGGGGGCGGGAUACCGCAAUAACGUGUACAAACCCAAGGACUUGAGGACAAACACAAGGGAAACCAAAGCAGAGAAACCAAGUCCACGUCAUAGAGUAAAAGAAACAGUCAUUUGAACUUUGGGAGGAGUGGAAGCUGCCCAGAAAAUGAGGCAAGGUGAGCCUCUUGGCCAAAUUGCAGAGCAGGCUGGUCACAUCUGAAGGACUAGUUCAUGCACAGCCUGGGAGCCAUGAGUUCAUCUCUAUAUCCUUACGCUGUUAUUUCAAGGGAAAUUCCAUCUCUUCUUGGUAACUUUAUAAAACAUUCAUCCAAGCAAUACCCUGCACCUGAGAGGGGGGUUAAAUCAUCAUUGGCAUGAAUUGAAAUGAAAUGAAGUUCACGGGACUGGAUUUGCCUGGAAGCUUCCCCGAAGAUGUGUGUUACCUUGAUUUACAAUCUAAUGGUCCAUUUGUCUUACCUUCACAAGACUAGUGCGCUCAUUCCUGAAUGCUGGACUUGGCCCAGAGGCUCAGCAUCUAUAUUCUCCUUUCUCGUUCGUGUUUCUAACACUGCCCUGCAAGGUCAUUCCCAGGCUGUGAAGGAUUUGGAGGCAGGAUAGAAGAAUAGAUUCUUGGCCCUAUCCCCAAAUAUUACUGUGGUUCCAGCCCUAUGUAAACUAACUAUGUAACUCCUAACUCUGUUCUCAGUUACUCCAUCUGGGAAAUGGGAAUAACAAACCUCCUCUUGAGAACCUGAAGAUGCAUAAAAAACAUUUUUAAGUGAUUUCCAAGCUAGCUUAGAGGAUACUGCAUCUUUCAGAGAUGUUCACAGGGAUGAAGUCAGGCGCACAUAAAAGUAAUCCUCUUUACUUUGGAAUCAAACAGGAUUAUAGAACUUGAGUUGGGCAAUACAUUUUCAAUACUUGAUGGGGAGUGGCUGGUGUUCUAAGAAAACGGCUAUCUAGAGUUGAUAUCAAGAGGGACUAAAUACGAGUUUAUGAACAAGCAAGUUGCAAAAAAAAAAUUAAACUGCUCACAAAACUCUAAUCUAGGCUCUGACCGGGAUCUGUACUGCCCUGGAAUCCCAUCUGACCCUUAGAAAACUCUUUCACCCACGUAGAAGUCAGCCCCUGCUCACUAUGCAGGGAGGACAGCCAUUGCAUGUUCUUCUGAUGAGCCCGGGUUUCAGCCAAGCUGGAAGCACUAUGCAAUGCUUCACUGAAGUCUCUGUGAAGGAUGUACGGUGGGCAUCUAGUGAUAUCUGUCAAAUGAGUGGAUGUGCUUGCUCAGCGCAACUGAAGAUUCAGGCAGGCCACUUACUUUCCUCUGCAAUAAGAUACAACUCCGUACCCAGUACAGAAACAUUUGGCGGGCACUCAAAGCAGUAGAGGGACCAGUGAUAACGGCACUGACUACACAUUUGCUAACCAUGUAAUUCACGACUGUCAAACUUUACACACUUCAUCUGACUUUCACGGUGAUCUUGGGAGGCAUGGGAUAGGAUUUUAUUCCUUCCAUGGAAAGUCAAUGUGGCCCCAAAGACUUUUGUAAUGUGCAUGGUGCCUUAGGUUGCUGGGUGAUCUCAGUGCAGGCAGUUUGAAUCCAUCCUUCUAUCCACUCAACUGCAGAAUCCUUCAGAGGUUGAUGGCUCUAAUUAGGGAAGCAGAGUCCUGGCAAAGAGUUUGCACGCUGUCACGGUCCCCUCUAACCAACCAGCACGACAGCACUCCAGAUAGAUAAGUUGAGCCUGGCAGAGCAGGCAGGUAUCUAAUGGCUUUUAGACUUACUAUCAGGGCAUGAAUGGCAGGCGGGUCUACUGGCUCCUUCUGUGUUCCUCGAGGUGGGUGGGGAGGUCCUCAGUUCAGCCACCUCUGUAGGGUGUGCUCAUCUCACGCACUUCCCAUGCCUCCAGAGAGCAGGUCUGACAGUCACGUGUGCCUAGCAACCAAACGCCAGACACCUGUUACGUAGGAGGGGACAUGGGCUCUCGAGUAAAAAGCAAAGGUCUAUUUACAGAGCAAUGAUUCCUUGCUUUCACUUCAUGAGUACAGAAACUGAGGCAGCUUGCCAAGGGCUCCAGUCUGCCUGGUAACGGUGUAGAGAGCAGAAGCCAGGCCUCCUAACAGCACAUCACAGGUGCUUUCUCUGCCCUGUAGGACACACUGGAGAGAGAUGCCCUUCUGAUGGCUGUGUUGCCCUGAAGACCUGGGCACAAGCCCCUCAGCAAGCCCAGUGGCCAUAGGCGCACAGAAGGCAAGCCCAGCCAUGUGGAAGGGAGAGGCUUCUGAGCCCGUGUACAAAAAGGAUCCUUGGAGGAACCAUUCAUCCUGACCAGCCCCCUCCCACUCUUUGCCUGAAACUUAAUUAAUCAUGGUUGCAUCUGGAUUCAGACAAGACAAUAGCGGGGAUGUGUUUUUGGUUAGGAACUGAAGCUGCAUUUGCCGAGGAAUGUUGAUUAGUUAGUGGCUCUGUUUAUGGGAUGAUCCAUCAGGCUGUCUCAGCGUCUCCAUGAGGCCCUUCAGCAGCCAGAGGCUUUCCAGGAAGUGCCCUGGAUCUGGGAAAAGAGAGCACAGGAAGUACGUCUUAAUGUGUACAACAUGCCCAUAUGUGUAGAACAUGUCAAAUCACAGAUGGCCUUUUCAGCUCUGUUCCAAGCUUGGUGCAGGUAUCCAAGCAUACACCUGGCUGAGAGGGGAGCAAGAACAAGAUGCUGCAAGAUGCUCAGAUGCAGGCCCCCUGCUCGUGAUUGACCAAGGACCAGAGUAGACGCAAAGAUGCAACUACUCUCAGACCUGUAGACAACUUUUAGCACCAGAAGUAUCAAUGGUAAGAAGCAGGGGCUAGCAAACUAUAGCCCAUGGGCUGAAUAUAGCUCAUUACCUAUUUCUACACAGUUGUAUUAUAAUGGCCUCAUCUACCUGUGAUUUUGUUUAUAAAUACUGCUAGGCUGUCUAAAGACUAGUUAAGGUAGAAACUGAGAAAUGUUAAAAAUGUUUAUAUUUUGCAUCUGGAUAAAAGAACUUGCUGUAAUGCAGAAGCCUCUUUCCAGCUAGAGAGCCAGUGGUCACAUAGGCAGCCUACCCAGAAUCCUUCACACUCAACUCUUAAACCCCAGGCUGACAGGCUUAUUGGGAAGCUCUUGGGUUUGUUUAUAAUCUUUGUGACUCCUGCCCUCUGGUGGAAAAAUGUCUAAGUAGUCUAUGUCUACAUCAGGAAGCAAUGGAGAACUGUCUUGAAACUCAAGCUCUGUGGGAAACUUCAGAAACCAAGGCAAGCAUGGCUGCAGGCUCUUGACCUUUGGAACUGAUCUGAGUUCAGAACGAUAAUGUCCCUCAGUUACUGACUUAGGGCUACAGUCACACUCAGGGUAGGUUUGUGUUGACUCCAGACAGUCACUUGAUGAACAUAGAAAAAAAUGAGAUCAUUCACACUCAUUUAUUAUGCAGUUUAAAGGUAUGUAUUUAUUGAGGCCUGGAGAGAUGGCCUAGUUGUUAAGAACACAUAACUAUUGUAGAGGACCAAGAUUUGGUGUCCAGCACUCACAUGAUUCCUUAUAACCAUCUGUAACUCCAGUUCUAUGUGAUCUGAUGCAUUCUUCUGAUGCAGCCACACAUGCGACACAGAUAUACCCAUAUAGCCAAAACAUUUAUACCCAUACAUGAAUAUAAAUUUUUAAAAAUGUACCUAUUUUUUCAUCACAGAUAUAGGACUGUGAAGCAUGAACAAAUGAAACAAAUCUUUAGAACAUUCCAAUAAUAUAUUUUUAAAGGGCCAGCAGGAAAGAAGCAAUGUGCAUUCUGCUUUAUUAUUAUCUAGUUAAACCAUAGAUUGGGUUGUACUCGCAUAUUUUUGGUAGGUAAAUGCAUGAGGAAAAACGUCCAGAGGUAUUCUGUUUCUUUCCUAAAGCCACACCUUUAAGCUGGGCUCAUGGGAAAGCUUGGGUUGUAAGCAUCCUACGUUAGCACAUUGCUGCUGGAGGAGAGGGAAGGUUAGUACCUCCAGACAGCUGCCCUAGAGAGCUGACUCCAGGAUACUCCCUGCUGCUGGACACACAGUGGUGCUCCCAGGCUGACCUCAGGUAUGUCCAUCUUCAAGUCGUGUGCUGAACUAUCUGCUUACUUCUCUCCCGGACCCAGUUCUCCUUUACGUUUGUGUUGAAAAUGUUGCUAAUUGAGAGACUCAGGAUAGCCAAAGUUUUCUCCGAACUGUGAGUCCCUCAGUACAUCUCCUGGAUGAUCUUCUGCACGGAUUGAACGUGGUAUGGUCCAGCAGAGUGAGGAUGGACACUGUGCUCAUACAAGCAAUCAAAGUCAAAGAAGAGGGUCUGGAAUGAAGUAAUCGGAGUGGUGGCAAUCCUCACUCUCCUGGGUCAGAGCAGCCCACCCCAGCAACCUUUACCAAGACCCUGUAGGCUAAAUGGGAAGGAAGCUUGUGUGCAGUGUCAGGACUUGGCAUGAAACAUUGGCAUGUGCUGUAGCUUAGGGAAUGAUGAGCACAGUGAGGGUACCUAUAAUAGGUUGCGCUGAGGCAUUGGGAUAUCGAGCAAAGAAAAAGGCCUUCUUGCUGGCACAGACUGACUCUCUGUUGUCCAGUCAUCCCUUAGUUACUCUUAGGCCUUGGUGGACCCCAGAAUCUCUUACAGACCUACACAGCUUAAAUACUUAACAGUGUCUCCUAAUCUUCAACCUUGUAGGUGAGACUGUCAUUAAAUAAGUAGGCCUUAGAACAUCCAGAUCAGACCUCAGUGGGAAUCAUUUCACUCCAACAGAAACCCUGGGAAAGGUGACCUAGACAGAUCUCUGCUUGACAAAAGGAAAAAGUAACACAGGAAGAUGAAUAGAUGAGCCCCCGAUUACAUAUAUUGUGAGUAUCAGAGCUGGGAUCCCACAGGCCUGGACUCCAGAAGGAAGCCUUGGAGGGGAACUCAGGUGACAGAACAGCGACUUCCCGACUGGGCCUCUAUAAGCCCGUGCGCAUGGAUCCUACAUAUGCCACUAUUCCCAAGUUAAGGGAUUCACAGAGAAGCUCAUGUUCUACUUGUGUUCCACUGAAUGUACACAGAGAAGAGCGUGGAUGCCCCGAGGGAGGGGAGAUAACAGACAUACCCUGCAUGAAACAGGCAGAGUUGAGGUGAUCUUGUGAAGAGCCGCUGGAAUUGUAACAUUAUUUGUGGCUUUGGGUGUGCAUAUGUUGUUUUGUUGUUGUUGCUUUUAGUUCAUUCAGCAUGAUUCUUCACUGAGUCUUUAAAUGAAAUCAUUCAAGAUAACAUUUCCCAUGAAACCUUUGCCAAGACCAAGGCGGGAAGUAAAAAGAGAAGAAAGAUGAAGGGCAAGAUUGAUACCCUGGCAAGCUGCAAAUAUGAUAUAGAGUUAGCUUGUUUCUUUUUUCAGUAUUACGAAUUGUAUAAACAGCAGAAUGCGUAUGUAAGUUUCCUAUGUUAAACACAUUGUUAUCUUCAAAAUAACUGAAAUUUUUCAUCGACAAUAGUCUUUCUUUACUAUAUAAAUAAGGUAUUUGGCAAUUUCAAACUAA